UACAGAGGGGGCAAGCGUUGUUCGGAAUUACUGGGCGUAAAGGGCGCGUAGGCGGCCUGCUAAGUCGAACGUGAAAUCCCCGGGCUCAACCCGGGAACUGCGUCCGAUACUGGUAGGCUUGAAUUCGGGAGAGGGAUGCGGAAUUCCAGGUGUAGCGGUGAAAUGCGUAGAUAUCUGGAGGAACACCGGUGGCGAAGGCGGCAUCCUGGACCGACAUUGACGCUGAGGCGCGAAAGCCAGGGGAGCAGACGGG
rnacentral:rRNA from 1 species